UUUUUUUAAGAAUAUAAUUUUAUCUCACUUUGGGUAUGAAAUGUGAAUACAUGCGAAAAUCAUAUGUAAUGCCCAUAUCCAAAUGGGUAUAUAAGUAAUUAUCCAAAAAGAGGUGGUUAUCCCGUCUAACCAUGGAAUAUAUGGUCCUUUGGUAAGAUUAAGGUAGACAAGUUAAUCACGGUCAAAAUUGGUCAUUUGAGUGACAUCAGAAC
rnacentral:lncRNA from 1 species